AGGUUACCCCGGAAGUGAAGUAAAGAUAAGUGCUUGAAGAUUGAAGUUGCUUUGGAUAUAUUAGCUAUUUGCGUAAAAUGCCGAUCAAUCAUAAAAUCAAGAAUGGUGUUUUGUUGGUGCGGUAAGCAAGCAAUACUACGAACAUCAUGGACUGACAGAAACCCAGGAAGGAGGGUUCCAAAUGUAGAUUCAUUGGAUGGCAUGAUCCAGAAAUGUGUCAACGUGCUACUGAAAUUAUAUCCUUGACUGUUUUGCUAUUCAAGACCUCACACAUAUUGUUAAGCAAGACAUCAGACUUGGCCCUUCCUGUUGGAUCAAAUAUUUUUGACCUUAGCUUAAUAAUUA